CAAGAGCCUGCUAAGUUAACGGAAAAGGAAUUGUAAGCAAGGAACUGGGAGAGUGGCAUGCCAUAGACACUAAGAGAAAAUGUUUUUAAAAAUCAAGUGUAGUAAACAGCAACACAAGCUGUGGAGAGGUCAGGAAGGUAAAAAUAGAAAGAGUGUGUAUUGGCUUUAGUCACAAGACCAUUGAGAGUUUCAGAAACCAAAUCACAGUGGUUUCAAAACUGAAGGGGAGUUAUGAGAAUGGGGGAGAGUGGAAGAGAGAGUGAAAGACAGAGAGAAACAUCAAUGUGCGAGAAACACAUCAAUUGUUUGUCUACUGCAGGAGCCCUGACCAGGGCCUGGGCUGAGGAGGAGCCUGCAACCAAGAACUGACCACCAGGGAACUGGCAACUCUGAAGGCACCACCAGAUCUGCUGAGCUCAAGAACUCACUUUGACAAGCUGCCAAAGACAACCUAGAAUCAGGAAGCUGCCAGCAUUGUGCCACUAAGGACAUUGCCUCUCAACACUCAUAAAACAAUGGGAUCUGGACCACAGACCAGCCAUGCCUUACCCUACACCACGCCUCCUGCACACAACUCUCAGUACUCAGGAACGGACAUGGACUAUUGUAGAUGAAAUAUUUAGCAUCUCCACAACCCUUUUUGCCAUUUGAAAACAGCCAGGUCAAGGAGAUUGUUUCUAUCUCACUGUCGCCUUUCAAGUUCAGCUCAGGUUCACCCACUUGUCAGAACCUAUUGCCUGUCCUGAAUCCUAGUGGCAGCAGAGUCAGGGAAAUGUACUGUUCCGCUCUCUCACCUCUGAGGUUCAGGGAGGGGCCUUAGGAGAGCUUCUCAACUGGGGGUGAGUUUGCUCUCCCUUUCCUGGCCUUGAGACAUUUGGCAAUGCCUGGAGACACUGCUGGUUGUCACAACUGGGAGGUGGGUACUACUGGUGUCUAGUGAGUAGAGGCCAGAGUUAUUACUAAACAUCUUACGAUACACAAGCCAGCCCCCACAACAAAGAAUCGUCUGGCUUAAAAUGGCUGAGGUUGAGAAACUGUGCUACAGAAAGAGAGUGAAAGAGAGAUUGACUAAACAAAACCACCGUGUCCAGCAACGGAGAAGGGCCCAGAUUCAUUAUACAAAUCAUUAGUCUCAAAGUGGUUUCUAUGUUUUUUGUUUGUUUGUUUGUUUUUAAAGAAAGUCCAUUAGAAGCUGGAGUAGUUAGAGAAUUUUUCACAAAUGAUGUGAGGCUGGAAUUGCAUUCUAAAGAUGGUUAAGAAUUGUAUAUGCUGAGACAGUAGCAAAGAUGAUGAGUGUGAGGAAGGGAAAGUAACCUAAGGCUGGAAGUUAGGAAUGAAAAGGCAUGUUUAUAAGGAAAAGGGAAGAUCAGCCUGAUGUUAUGAAGUUUCAAAAUAGGUGUUUAAACAGGUGGUGUCAGAUUGUGAAGAGCUUUGAACAUCUGGCUGAAAAGUUUGAACUGUAGCGUGGUGGAGCGGAAAGGCUUAGGAAGGCGGCAAAAGCAAGUUUGGUCCUGACUCCUCCACAUCCUGGAGUGAAAUCCUGGAAACAUUUCUUAGCUUUUCCAGGGUGCAGUCUCCUCUGCCAGAGAUACUAUUACAGCCUUCGGUGGUUUACAUAAGCUCAGUGUGUACAGGACCCUGUUCCUUUUUUGUCCUUUUGAUAAUAGGGACCUGUUGGGCCUUGCAUAUUCCCCAACUUAAAAAGAAAUCAGACAAUUCUGUAGCCUACAAGCCGAUCUCUCAAUGCAACCCCAGCCUUGUAGUCAAAAGCCAAGUAAAAUAGUGAGUGGAACCAUGUGGCAUUUUGUUAUGUUUGGGGAACUACUUUUAUUAAUUUACUAGAGGA